AGUAGGCGGUAAUAUGUGUCAGNNGUAAAAGGCUAUGGCUUAACCAUAGUGGGCAUUGAAAACUGUAUUACUUGAGUGCAGGAGAGGUAAGUGGAAUUCCUAGUGUAGCGGUGAAAUGCGUAGAUAUUAGGAGGAACACCAGUGGCGAAGGCGACUUACUGGACUGUAACUGACGCUGAGUCACGAAAGCGUGGGUAGCAAACAGGAUUAGAUACCCUGGUAGUCCACGCUGUAAACGAUGAGUGCUAGGUGUUGGGUAGCGAUAUUCAGUGCCGAAGUAAACACAAUAAGCACUCCGCCUGGGGAGUACGGUCGCAAGACUGAAACUCAAAGGAAUUGACGGGGACCCGCACAAGCAGCGGAGCAUGUGGUUUAAUUCGAAGCAACGCGAAGAACCUUACCAAGGUUUGACAUCCCCUUGACAGAUGCAGAGAUGUGUCCUCCCCUUCGGGGGCAAGGGAGACAGGUGGUGCAUGGUUGUCGUCAGCUCGUGUCGUGAGAUGUUGGGUUAAGUCCCGCAACGAGCGCAACCCUUAUCCUUAGUUGCCAGCAGGUCAAGCUGGGCACUCUAAGGAGACUGCCGAUGAUAAAUCGGAGGAAGGUGGGGAUGACGUCAAAUCAUCAUGCCCCUUAUAUCUUGGGCUACACACGUGCUACAAUGGUCGGUACAAAGGGCAGCGAAGGAGUGAUCUGGAGCAAAUCCCAAUAAACCGAUCCCAGUUCGGAUUGUAGGCUGCAACUCGCCUACAUGAAGUCGGAGUUGCUAGUAAUCGCGAAUCAGAACGUCGCGGUGAAUGCGUUCCCGGGUCUUGUACACACCGCCCGUCACACCAUGGAAGUUGGUAAUACCCAAAGUCGCUGAGCUAACCGCAAGGGGGCAGGCGCCUAAGGUAGGAUCAAUGACUGGGGUGAAGUCGUAACAAGGUAACC
rnacentral:rRNA from 1 species